rnacentral:rRNA from 1 species
UACGAAGGGGGCAAGCGUUGUCCGGAGUUAUUGGGCGUAAAGCGCGCGCAGGCGGUUCGCCAAGUCCAUGGUGAAAGCGCCCGGCUCAACUGGGCGAGUGCCGUGGGGACUGGCGAGCUGGAGGGGAGCAGAGGCGAGUGGAAUUCCGGGUGUAGUGGUGAAAUGCGUAGAGAUCCGGAGGAACACCAGUGGCGAAGGCGGCUCGCUGGGCUUUACCUGACGCUGAGGCGCGAAAGCGUGGGGAGCGAACCGG